rnacentral:ncRNA from 1 species
GCAAUAUUCUACGGGUGCCUCAUGAUUUUAAUUUCUAAUUAUGAUCUAUGGCUGAGAUUAUACCGUCUACUGGAACUCGAUCAAGUUAAUACUUGCGUGAGGAAGUAAUAUUGUUAUAUU